ensembl:lncRNA
CACACUGAAGGAGCGGGGUUUGAACUGGCUGUAGAGGCUGUUAGCUAUGUGACGCUCGGCAAGUCGCUCCCGCCGUCUAAACUCAUCUGGGUGUCUCCGGUGGGAGGAAGGGAGACCGUGCGUGCCCCGCGGGUCUGUGGCAUGAAGACGAGGCACCGAGAGCCCUCAGCACAGGCCAGCAUGAAACAAAAGAAGCAGAAGCUGGAGCCCUGAGGGUUAAAGUAACCAGUCUGGGUCGCAAAGGCAGCAGGUGAAGGAGUUGAAAUGUGGGUCUUUGGAUCCCAGACCUCAGGUGGCUGGAAGAAUAGGAAGAAUUUACUGAGAGAAAGGCGGCUUCUAAGAGAG